GCCCAAGUAGCACAAUGGUAGUGCGUUGCUUUCCUAUAAAGCCCUAUGGCGUAUUUACCGAAGGCAAAGGUUGUGGGUUCGAUCCCCAUCUUGGGUU